AGCAUAUCAAUAAGCGGAGGAAAAGAAACCAACCGGGAUUGCCUCAGUAACGGCGAGUGAAGCGGCAAGAGCUCAAAUUUGAAAGCUGGCCCCUCCGGGGUCCGCAUUGUAAUUUGCAGAGGAUGCUUCGGGUGCAGCCCCCGUCUAAGUGCCCUGGAAUGGGCCGUCAGAGAGGGUGAGAAUCCCGUCUGGGAUGGGGUGCCUGUGCCCGUGUGAAGCUCCUUCGACGAGUCGAGUUGUUUGGGAAUGCAGCUCUAAAUGGGUGGUAAAUUUCAUCUAAAGCUAAAUAUUGGCCGGAGACCGAUAGCGCACAAGUAGAGUGAUCGAAAGAUGAAAAGCACUUUGAAAAGAGAGUUAAACAGCACGUGAAAUUGUUGAAAGGGAAGCGCUUGCGACCAGACUCGCCUCCGGGGUUCAGCCGGCAUUCGUGCCGGUGUACUUCCCCGGGGGCGGGCCAGCGUCGGUUUGGGCGGCCGGUCAAAGGCCUCCGGAAUGUAGCGCCCUUCGGGGCGCCUUAUAGCCGGGGGUGCAAUGCGGCCAGCCUGGACCGAGGAACGCGCUUCGGCUCGGACGCUGGCAUAAUGGUCGUAAACGACCCGUCUUGAAACACGGACCAAGGAGUCUAACAUCUACGCGAGUGUUCGGGUGUCAAACCCGUACGCGCAGUGAAAGCGAACGGAGGUGAGAGCCCCCCCGUGGGGCGCAUCAUCGACCGAUCCUGAAGUCUUCGGAUGGAUUUGAGUAAGAGCGUAGCUGUGGGGACCCGAAAGAUGGUGAACUAUGCCUGAAUAGGGCGAAGCCAGAGGAAACUCUGGUGGAGGCUCGCAGCGGUUCUGACGUGCAAAUCGAUCGUCAAAUUUGGGUAUAGGGGCGAAAGACUAAUCGAACCAUCUGGUAGCUGGUUCCUGCGA
rnacentral:rRNA from 1 species